rnacentral:rRNA from 1 species
GAUGAACGCUGGCGGCGUGCCUAAUACAUGCAAGUCGAGCGAACAGAUGAGGAGCUUGCUCCUCUGACGUUAGCGGCGGACGGGUGAGUAACACGUGGAUAACCUACCUAUAAGACUGGGAUAACUUCGGGAAACCGGAGCUAAUACCGGAUAAUAUAUUGAACCGCAUGGUUCAAUAGUGAAAGACGGUUUUGCUGUCACUUAUAGAUGGAUCCGCGCCGCAUUAGCUAGUUGGUAAGGUAACGGCUUACCAAGGCAACGAUGCGUAGCCGACCUGAGAGGGUGAUCGGCCACACUGGAACUGAGACACGGUCCAGACUCCUACGGGAGGCAGCAGUAGAGAAUCUUCCGCAAUGGGCGAAAGCCUGACGGAGCAACGCCGCGUGAGUGAUGAAGGUCUUCGGAUCGUAACACUCUGUUAUUAGGGAAGAACAAAUGUGUAAGUAACUAUGCACGUCUUGACGGUACCUAAUCAGAAAGCCACGGCUAGCUACGUG